rnacentral:rRNA from 1 species
UACGUAGGGGGCAAGCGUUGUCCGGAAUCAUUGGGCGUAAAGGGCGCGUAGGCGGCACUGUUAGUCAGGCGUGAAAGUCCUGGGCUCAACCUGGGAACUGCGCUUGAUACGGCAGAGCUAGAGGAUGGAAGAGGGUCGCGGAAUUCCCAGUGUAGAGGUGAAAUUCGUAGAUAUUGGGAAGAACACCGGUGGCGAAGGCGGCGACCUGGUCCAUUACUGACGCUGAGGCGCGACAGCGUGGGGAGCAAACAGG